rnacentral:lncRNA from 1 species
GUAAACGUGAGUAACCAGGGGCCCGGAGAUGGAGCCAGGGCACUGGCAUGGGAGGGGUUAUCCUGAGCAGCCCAGGCUGGGCAGGGGAUGUGGGGAGCAAAAGAGAGGAGGUGCUGGCAGCCCUGCCGGUGAUAAGAUGGAGCCUGCUGUUGGCAGGGAGGCAGAAGGCAAUAGGGAAGAGUUGGAGGCAGAGGGAGGAGGGCCCUGCCCACACAGACCCCUUCUUCUCCAGACUCAGAGACGGCUGAGGAUGACAUCAGCGAUGUGCAGGGAACCCAGCGCCUGGAGCUUCGGGAUGACGGGGCCUUCAGCACCCCCACGGGGGGCUCUGACACCCUGGUGGGCACCUCCCUGGACACACCCCCGACCUCCGUGACAGGCACCUCAGAGGAGCAAGUGAGCUGGUGGGGCAGCGGGCAGACGGUCCUGGAGCAGGAAGCGGGCAGUGGGGGUGGCACCCGCCGCCUCCCGGGCAGCCCAAGCAGCGUCCCUCAGAGCGGGUUGCGCAGGGAGGAGCCCGACCUUCAGCCUCAGCUGGCCAGCGAAGCCCCACGCCGCCCUGCCCAGCCG